rnacentral:tRNA from 1 species
GACCUGGAUAGCUUAAUUGGUUAAAGCCACUAGCCGGGCAAGCGAAAGAUCCGGCUUCGAGUCCCGGUCCGGCG